rnacentral:tRNA from 1 species
AGACAACAAAAUGUUUAAUAUUAUUAUUUUGUCACCUUAGGUCGAUCGGUAUCUCACAUCCUUAAUUAAUUAAGGAUUUUAUUUCCUAAGUUUUUCUAGGUCACACCCAUUAUUUUUCCUGGGCCAUUAGCUCAGGUGGUUAGAGCGCACCCCUGAUAAGGGUGAGGUCCCUGGUUCAAGUCCAGGAUGGCCCAUAUCUCUAUGUUGGGGGUAUAGCUCAGUUGGUAGAGCGCCUGCUUUGCAAGCAGGAUGUCAGCGGUUCGAGUCCGCUUACCUCCACUGAUUACCACCUCUUCCAUAAAUUUGUAAGGAAAUGUUUUGAGUCGUGAUCAAAUUCUGAGCGAAUCUAGCUUCCUAAUGAAAUCAUUAAGAUGCUGGACUCACUGAAUUAAAUUCAUUGUUUUCAGAGAACCUUGACAACUGCAUAGAUUAUUUUUAAAGACAAUAAGCAUCUUUAAUGAUGCAGAUUUAUUAUUUGUGCGAAUGCAUUAAUAACAAUUCUAUUAAGCUGAUGCUUCAAUUUUUGAAGUUAUU